AAGUCGUAACAAGGUUUCCGUAGGUGAACCUGCGGAAGGAUCAUUACCACAUCCAAAGCUUAUCAACCCAUCUGUGUGAACCGUUGAGCUGUUUGGACGAAAGGACUCACGGCCGGUUUGAGAAUGUAUGUCUGUUGGCGUGUCACAGCGCCAACAGCAUCUACCUCACUCCGACUGCCUCUCGGAAUCUCGCUCACCUGUCCAUCAAAAACAACUGUUAAACUCUACUUUAACACAUGACAAACCAAAAAAAACGAAACUUGAGAGACAACUUUUAACGAUGGAUCUCUUGGCUCGU
rnacentral:misc_RNA from 1 species